AUUUUUCACCCAUGUCUUUUGCGCACUUUUUGUUUCCUGGGCGAGUUCGCUCGCCACCAGGACCCAACCAUAAACCUUUUUUUAUGCAGUUGCAAUCAGCGUCAGUAUAAUAAUUCAAUUUAUUAAAACUUUCAACAACGGAUCUCUUGGUUCUGGCAUCGAUGAAGAACGCAGCGAAAUGCGAUACGUAGUGUGAAUUGCAGAAUUCAGUGAAUCAUCGAAUCUUUGAACGCACAUUGCGCCCUUUGGUAUUCCAAAGGGCAUGCCUGUUCGAGCGUCAUUUGUACCCUCAAGCUUUGCUUGGUGUUGGGCGUCUUUUUGUCUCUCCCCUUGUUGGGGGAGACUCGCCUUAAAACGAUUGGCAGCCGACCUACUGGUUUUCGGAGCGCAGCACAAAUUUGCGCCUUCCAAUCCACGGGGCGGCAUCCAGCAAGCCUUUGUUUUCUAUAACAAAUCCACAUUUUGACCUCGGAUCAGGUAGGGAUA
rnacentral:rRNA from 1 species